rnacentral:misc_RNA from 1 species
GGCGGCAGCGUCAGAUGUGUAUAAGAGACAGGUGAAUCAUCGAAUCUUUGAACGCACAUUGCGCCCUCUGGUAUUCCGGGGGGCAUGCCUGUUCGAGCGUCAUUAUGACCAAUCACGCAAGUGGUAUUGGGGCUUGCCGUCGGCAUCCCUUAAAAUCAGUGGCAGUGCUAUAGGCUCUCAGCGCAGUAAUUAUUUCGCUCUUGAGUCCUAGACCCACCCGCCAAAACCCCAACUUUCUUAAGGUUGACCUCGGAUCAGGUAGGGAUACCCGCUGAACUUAAGCAUAUCAAUAAGCGGAGG